GGGCGGACUGCGACUGCUCUUUGGAGCAGUACACCUGACUGUCCCAGCCAUUGGAGAGAGCCCAGUGCUGGUAGCCUUCGACCGGGAUGAGCGCGUCGUGACGCGGCUCCGGGUGCCCGCUGAUCCCGGGCACCACCGACACGUCCAGGGGCACUAUGCGGCCAAAGUUUAGCGGCGGUGAAAGAAAGAGAAGGAACCAAAAGUCGCUUCUUCAGGAAGACCAGCGGGAGAUGGAGCCCCCAGAGCGACUCCUGUGGCAGGGGGCGCCGGAGGGGAAAGCUCCCGGCAAAAAUGUGCAUCUCGCUGGGACACAAAUAAAAUCAAAUGAAACACUCCAGGAGAAUAGGCAGCAAUGGAAACGUAGUAAUUACAUCUCCGAGGCGAUCCCGCCCCAGAAAGCCGGGCGCUGGAACCCUCCGCACCACGCGGCCACACCCGCCCGGCUUCGCCUAGGGGCCACGGGGCUUCGCUGCGGAUGCAGUUCGGAGAAAACCAAGAGAAACGAAAGGAAGUGUGGCUCCUGGGUUUCCAGGAAGAAAGGGUUUCCAGGGCGGAAGACGGAGCAGUAAAUGACACCGAAGAAAAGUGGAAAAUGGCCCCUGGGGCUCCUCGGGGGAGCCUUGCUCUGCGCUGCCGGUGCCACACCAGUCCUCAGCUCCUUCUUUGAACCGGGAAAUGCUUUCUUUCAAAUGCGCCAACGCAUCAAGCCUGCAUCUAACGUGCCUUUCCCCCCUAGAAGUGUGCGCGGGGGGCAGGCAUGCCUGCGGGUUUGUGGACGUGUGUAAACUGCAGCCGCGUGGGUCCUGCAAUGCUCUGCAGACUUGGCCCAAAUGUGUGCCCAGAGAUACACCAUUCCAAUAAAGGUCUCCCUGGCUGGCUGCUUCUCUGCUCAUAUAGGCGUUUCGUG